GACACCUGGUUGUGCAUUGCCUUGAGCAAGACGCGCAUAACCAAUAACAUGUACUGGGUAAAUGAUUAAAAAAAAAUCGAAACCCAAAAAAAAAGGAAGAAGAAGAAGAAGAAAUUUGGUUUUGUUUUCAAAGUUCUAUUUUGUUUUGAUCUGUUUUGUUGAAGUUCUAUUUUCUAUUUGGUUCUAUUUUUUAGUCAUGAAGUUAAGUAGUAUCGUGGGAUAUUUGAAGUUCUUGGGUACUGAAAAUUCAAGAAGUUUUAAACUCUAGUCAUCUUAUUUUGGCUGCAAAAAUAGAGGAAAGUUCUGAGCAUACCAUCAAAAUAUAAUAUGGUUUAUUCCUUCAGUAAGGUCCAAUCCCCACGAAAUUAAAGGAACCCUAUCUUUCACAAAUGGCACGAGCAUUAGCCAAAUGUUAUGUUCUUGUAAAGCAGAAAAUAGUGGAAAAUGUAAACAUGUCUCUACUCUUGUUAAAUGGAAAAUGUGAAAUUAAUGGAACAUUCAGUACAUGAGUUGAAAAAAUGUUAACAGAUUGGCAAAUGAAGACCAUUUUUAAUUGAUCUAAACAUUUAUAGAAACAAAGUAUAUGGUUAAUAUAAAUAUUACCUGCCUGAAGUAACUUGGUGUACAAAUCAAUAGUAACCAUAAUUUUUAUUCCCAGGGCCAGUGAGAAACAAUGUGCAUUUGAUUUCUAAGUGUUCUAAGGAAAGAUCUCGUAAGAAUAAAUAGAUCUGUACAAUGAAGAUUAACCUAAUCUGUUUAACCAUCGAAAUUAUUGUAUUGUUAUAAAAAUAAAAAAAGAAUGUGUGUGUACUUUGUACGCACGUAAUAAGUUAUACUUCUAUUAUAUGAUUAUAUGAUUAUAAACGAAA